GGCUGUGGGCGGCUGGGCUCCCCUCCCGGCCGGACCUGCAGGAGCCGCAUGUUCUCUCAGGCCCGGUUUCCUCUCCUUGCUGCUAAUCCAAGCAGCUGAGUGCCCCGUGGCCUUGAGACCAACCGGCCAGAAUUAGAACCGGGUGAUGAAGUGCCUGUCACAACUUGGUGCUGAAAACCAAGCUCCCAAUGCGUUUGUUUAAAUACAGAGACCAAAAGAGCCAAGUAUCAUAACACAGGCUGAAACAUUUUUAAGAAACGUUUUUCUUGGAGUGUAGCUGACUCACAACUUUGGGUUAGUGUCAGGUGUACAGCAGAGUGGAUCCGCCACACACAUGCACACAUCCAUUUCUUUUCAGAUUCCUGUCCCAUAUAGGGCACUGCCAAGGAUGGCACAGACUGCCCUGGGCUGGACGGUGGGUCCUCGUCACUCAUCCAGUCCGUAUACAGUGGUGUGUACACCACAGUCUCCACCUCCCACGGUAUCCCUCCCCCCCGUGUUUCUCCUUUGGUAGCCAUAAGUCUAGGAGGGAGCCCUAAGAGAUUUCCAGAAUCCCUCCUGGCAGAACCCCUCUUUUUUAGGGAGCUGUGGCGGCCACGCUGGGAGGUGAGAGGGAACAGAACAGAGAGGGUCUUGGAGAAGAUGGGGGCUGUUAGGGCCUUGCUAUGAGUUGAAAAUAGUGUCUUUGCUCGUGAAGUCGAGUUAAGAUGUGGUCAUUGGUCCAAUGGGGCUGCCAUCCUUUGCAGAAGAGAAGAGACACAGACAGACGUGCACAGACGGAACAGCAUCCUGUGAAGACACAGCGUGAACACCUGGGACCCUGCAGGUCCGAGCCACGCAUUGCAAGCCAGGGACCCCCAGCCGGGGUGGGGGGCGGCGCAGGUGGGAGCAGAACCUCCUCCAGAGCAUCCGGAGAGUGUGGCCCUGCCCACGUCUCGACUGCGGACUUCUAGCUUCCAAAACUGCAGGAAAAUAAAUGUCAGUUGUUUCAGCUACUCAGGCUGCGUACAGGCGGCCGUGGUGAUGACACAGAAGGGGCGGUUGGGUUCCUCUCCUUGAGGUGGGAUGACUUUGAUGCUAUGAGCUUCUCAAGGGCCUAGGGGUAGCAGGCCCUGCAGCCGCAGAAGCAGCUGUGUCACAGCCUCGGGGACCUUUCACAGCAUCAGCGAACUUGCUCGUGAGGCAAACCUGGUCAUGACGCUGACGGCCCUUUCCGCCGACCAGCUGAAAGGCAGCAAGUGUGUGUUCAUAUACAGCCAUACCCACUGACACCCCAUCGCGGGUGGCCGUGGUGUUUGUUAGGAGCUGGGCAUAGGCAGCAUCCUGCAAAGUCAGAUGUGGCUGAGCAACUGGCCCCAAGUCAGACCAGGGAGCCGAAAUCAGGACGGACAAUCUCAAGGGAGAAAAGGGACCAUAUUAUCAACACACGAGCAGUGCUGGACUCGCCCAAAGGGCAGGCCAAGAAGGUGCUCAGGGCACCAGCAAAGUAAAACAAAAUUUUUUUCUUUUUUUUUUUAGGACUGCACCUGCGGCAUAUGGUAAUUUCCAGGCUAGGUGUUAAAUUGGAGCUGCAGUGGCCAGCCUCUGCCACAGCCACGGCCACACUGGAUCCCAGCCAUACCUGAGACCUACACCACAGCUCUCAGGCAACUUGGGAUCCUUAAUCUACUGAGCGAAGCCAGGGAUUGAACCCGAAUCUGCAUCCUCAUGGAUACUGCAUCACAGUAGGAACUUCAAGAAUGUUUUUAAAAAAGGAAUCUGCUGUGCAACUUUGAAAAAAAUUGAAGAAGUUAGCAGGUGUAAAUCACACUUUUUUAGGAUUUCUUUGUGCUUAAUUGGUUGAUCACUAUUUUUCCUUUGAAUGACUUGUGCAGGGGUCCAGAAGCCUCAGGGUUCUGUGGUUUGAGGUCUCUCAAGGUGGCCCAGGUUCCAGGAGGGCUCAUGGAUUGGAGGCUGGCCAUACACCCUCCCCUCCUCCCUCCCCUCCUCCCUCUCCCCCCCCUCCUUUCUGUACCACCCACCGUCCCAGGGGGGCAGGCUCCCUCAGUGGCUCUUGGGGGGAGUGAGAAGAUGCUGUGCCGUUUCACACAGCAUGGUUCUUCCUCGGGGUGCCCUUCUCCCUCUCAGACACACGCUUUCAGUCUUAAUUCUGCAGAUGCAGAGGAAGGACUCUUCCUGCGGGGUCAUGCCCACCCCCAGCUCAAUAAACCUCAGCCGGAGGCAGGUGGGGGUGUUCCCAUAGGGAGGAGGAAAGGCAAAGUGCCAGGUAAGACUUGGAGGGGACUUCACUGCUCCCCAUCCCGACUCCUUUGCGGCCUGGUUGUCCAUUAGCUUCGCUGUUAACCCCUCCCGCCUCGCUUUCCUCCACUGUCAGAGGGGCAGAGACCUGCGCCUACCUCGUGGGGUUAGGGAACCGCUCGAUACUGUGCCUGGCAUAGUAAGGGAUCAAUAAGUAUCAGAUAAAAGUAUUAAAGCUCUUAGGAGAACCUGUCAUCACCCGGGAAGGAUGGCAGGUCCUACAAAAGCGUGUCAGGUAGGGUCUGGACGGCCGGCGGCUGGCCAAGCGCAUCCCCUACGGACGGACGGGUGAGGACUGGACCACGGGAGGGAGUGGCUGCAGGACGGCGCCGCCGAGGACUCGACGGUCAGCGCGAUGGAGGAGGUGCCUUGUGCCCAGCGCUGCCGCCUGGUCCCUGGGCAGCGGACUGACCUGGAGGUUACAAGAGGGUCACUGUAGAAAGCGCGUGGCGAAAAAACGGCCUGAGUCAUUCCAGGAUGAGGCUGUGCAGGGGUCGAUCGCGUGGGAACAGAGUGAGUUAGGAAACAGUGACAUCAAAAAUGGACUUGACUCUCGGGAACUGAAGCAGUCCUCCCCCUCACGUUGGCAUCUUCUGCUGGUCUUGUUUGAGAAAGUGAGUCAUGAGCCAGAGGCAGCUCUGGUGACCUUCACCCCUGGCGCAUACGUCCUUUGCCAGAAUGCUUCAAAGCUCGCAGACACUAAAAGAAAGCAGAGCCUCCCUGUCUUGGAAACAGAGUAGAUCCGGACUGCUGAAGUUGGUCGAUGGAAGGUCAGCCUUGUUCUCUGCUCUUUAUGUGCAUUUUCUUGUUAAUUUUCAGACCCAUCCAUCCAUAGAUAAGGAAGAUGAGGCUCCUUGAACGGCUAAUUAAUUUGCCAAGAUCACACAGUAAAAGGCAAGCUGGAUGUGCCUGGAUGAGGCUAAUGUCUUGUCCCUGACUCCUUGGCAUGUUUGGGUGGGUUCUGGAAGCUUCUGCCAGCCCCACCAAGAACUUGCUCAGCCCACACAUGGGGCAGUUCAGCCAGAUGGGGACGGCCGAGGAGCCACGGUCUGGAGAUGUGCCCAGGCUGAAGUGCCAUGUUAGGGCAAGAACGCAGGGGUUAAUUGCCUCUACUUUUGAAGUCUGGUGACAGGUUCCUUAACAGGAAUAGCAGGGGGCCCUGACUCUAGGGCUCAGACUUAGAGUGAGGCCAGUCUGUUGGCUGCACAGGCGCUAUUGCCAGUUUGCUGUAAUUCAAAGCUCCAGAUGCUGGCGGGAGAAUGUCCCAGAGGCCACAGACAGGUGCCCAUGAACCCACUCUUUCUUGGCUUUUCUCUGUUCCUUGAUUUACCUUUGUCCUCCUUUAUCGGGAUCCUUCCUGGUUUCCCCUCUCAAGACAAGCACACAGACAGAAAAACGGUGCCCCCCACCCCCACCCCUGUAACAGCUUCCUGGCUGGCAGAGGCUCAUGGUAGCGUCAGAUUGCAGGGCUGCGGGGCCCAGGUGUGCCUCACACACCAGCCUGGGUGCUGCCAUGAAGGUCUCUCUUAGAUGUGAUUAGUUUUUGCCGUCAGUAGGUUUUGCGUAAAGCGGCUGACCCUCCAGAAUGUGGGUGGGCCUCAUCUAACAAGUUGAAGGCCUUGAGAGCAAAGAUUGAGGUCCCAGAAGAAGAGGCCAUUCUGCUUCAAGACUGAAUCAUAGAAAUCCUGAGGCUUCAGCCUGCUGCCCAUGGGACUUGGAUUCAGGACCCGGACAGCAGCCUCAGGACUCACCUGGGCUUCCUGCCUGCUGGACUGUCCUGCCCACCUCAGGGCUGGUGACCCCACAAGCUUGAGAGCCAGUUCCUUUAAGUGAGCUGCCACCCUCCACAUACACGCACUCACACACCCUUCUUUUUUUUUUUACGGUUCCUAGACUAGGGGUUGAAUUGGUGUCAUAGCCUCCGGCCUACACCCCAGCCACAGCAAGGCCAGAUCUGAGCCACGCCUUUGAUCUACACCAUAGCUCAUGGCAACUCUGGAUCCUUAACCCACUGAGCAAGGCCAGGGAUCAAACCACAUCUUCACGGACUGGGCCACAACAGGAACUCCUACACACACCCUAUUGGUUCUGUUUCUCUGGGGCACACUGACUCUUCCAGUUAAUCGCCAGCUUCUCUGUGCUGCAGCAACACUCACAUAUCUCUGUUUCAUUUCUGAUGAACUUCAUGUGUGUGGUUUUUUUGUUUUUGUUUUUGUUUUACUUAAUCACAGUAUUUAGUUUCAAUUUUCCUCUUUUCUGUUAUUUAAGCAAUCUAUUGACACACGUGCUCACCGCAUCAAGCUGAGCCCCUGGAGGGACAGAGACAGUGGGGGUCAGCUCUGUCCCUGCCCCUCACACAGGACCUGUCGUAGGAAGAAAGGAAGGUUGGAGUCCAGGGCAGGGGAGCAGAAUGAUCUUAGAGAGGCUGCUGCCUCCUGUCUGAUUUUGAAUCCCCCUGACUAUCUGAAUGGCUUCAGGCAGCUUUAUUCAUGGCCAGCAUUCCCACUUGUAUUCCUUUAUUCAUUCCCAUGUGCGAGUUACAAAGCACACAGUUCUGAUGAAACCUCAAGUUCAAUAAUUAAGUGAUUGUGUUAUCCAUCAGCGCAGCCAGAAGCUCCUGCUAGAGCGGCGGGGCGGCAAGGCUGCGAAACACAACUGGGCUUUGUCUGGUGUCGGCUUACAUUAUUUAUAAGCGGCUAGAGAGAGGAGUGGUGCCCCCACGCCCCUCAUCUGACACAUCUUAAGGAAGAACAAAGCAGGGACAGCAGGCGCCAUUCAGUACCUGACAUGUGUGAGGUGGUUUUCUAGUCCCAACUUGACUGUGUCAGAAUUUUUCAUCUCAGGGUCCCCCGAACGCACUGCUGUGAAAGCCGCGAGGGAGGCUAAUGCCGCCACCUGCUCUUCGCCCACUGCUCCCUAAAAGAAAAAAAAAAAAAAAAAA
rnacentral:lncRNA from 1 species